CCUCUGAAUUCCACCCCCCUCCCUAAAAAUGGAAUAACAGAUUUCUUGGCAUUGGUAUCCACUGUCGUUCGGCUCCUUGUCUCCUGCAAAUCAAAAUCCAAAUUAUUGAACAACCCUAACCGCCAAACGAUGUUACAAGGACAAAAGGCGAUCUUCUUACUUCUCUGAGUGCCGUCCGUUGACUGUCCAGCACCGUCCAACCGCCUCUACCUACGUUAAUCGGAUUUGUGUUGUCGGGAUUGUGAGUUGCGACGGUGGAAUUCUCAAAGUAUCGAAUUGUCAUUUCAUAAUUUUUGUUCAAGUCAUACUUCUCAGGUAAGCAAUGACUUGCCCUUGCUUAUUUAUUAAGAAAUAUUUGAAACAUGGCCGACUUAUAUUAUUUUGGCCUUUUCGGCUUAUAUGAUUACAUUGCGGUAUUGUACCCUUGUCGGGUUAUAUUGACUUUUAUUAGCUUUUAAUUGUAGGACCAAUUGCACAGGCGUACAUAGUGAUUAUGUUGAAGAUUUUAAUUGCGAGAUGAUUAAAAUGUUUUAUUAUUAUCAAUUUUAGGUUAAUCAUUGGACAACAUUCUUAUACCAUGCCUCCUAAAUAUGAGUCUGGAGCUCAAAAAAAGAAAAAGGAAACGAAAUGAGAUGACAUUAAUUCAAAGUCAAGCAGGAAAUAUUGACAAAUAUUUAAAAAAAAAAUGCGAAUGAAUUUGCUAAGAGUGAAAAAGUGAUUCAACUUGUCAAUGUAAAUGAAAUAGAUGAAAAUGAUGAAGAUAAUGUUCAACGUAAAAAUUUGGAAGACCCUGUAAAACUGCAAGGCAAAUAGUAUUUAGUUGAUCUUUUGGAACGUUGCCUACUCUGUUAGUAGAUUAUAAUAAAAAAUUUAUAACACUUUUUUUU